rnacentral:rRNA from 1 species
UGGCCAGAGACCGAUAGCGCACAAGUAGAGUGAUCGAAAGAUGAAAAGCACUUUGGAAAGAGAGUUAAACAGUACGUGAAAUUGUUGAAAGGGAAGCGCUUGCAAUCAGACUUGCGCCUAGUUGAUCAUCCAAGCUUUUGGUUGGUGCACUCGACUAGGCUCAGGCCAGCAUCGGUUUGGGCGGUUGGAUAAAGACUUGGGGAACGUAGCCUCCUUCGGGUGGUGUUAUAGCCCAGGUGCAAUGCAGCCUGCCUGGACCGAGGACCGCGCUUCGGCUAGGAUGCUGG